rnacentral:rRNA from 1 species
GCAGGGAAUCUUGCGCAAUGGACGAAAGUCUGACGCAGCGACGCCGCGUGGGGGAAGAAGGCCUGCGGGUUGUAAACUCCUUUUCUAGGGGAAGAAGAUCUGACGGUACCCUAGGAAUAAGCCUCGGCUAACUACGUGCCAGCAGCCGCGGUAAUACGUAGGAGGCUAGCGUUGUCCGGAUUUACUGGGCGUAAAGGGGGCGCAGGUGGCUGAGUAGGUCCGUGGUGCAAGCUCCAGGCUUAACUUGGAGAGGUCUACGGAAACCGCUUGGCUUGAGGGCGGUAGAGGAGCACGGAAUUCCGGGUGUAGUGGUGAAAUGCGUAGAUAUCCGGAGGAACACCUGAGGCGAAAGCGGUGCUCUGGGCCGUUCCUGACACUCAGGCCCGAAAGCGUGGGGAGCAAACUGG